rnacentral:lncRNA from 1 species
GACCUUUUCCAGAUCUCAGGUCUGACUUGCACUCCAGUAGCAUUUGUGCCUAUCCUCCAAGCCGUGGGAGAGGACACACCAUUUCAGCUCAGGCUCUUCAGCCGCCUGCUCUUCCCCUUUGUGGGCAGUGGUCCUGCACUCACCAUGACCUCCUUCGUAGCUUGCUUGAGCUUUCUUCACAGCACUUCCCCUUCUUCAAGGUGGAUAGCCUGUUACUGAACUUGGAGUGGAGGUAUCAAUCUGGCCCACCGGUGGAAGGAUGCCCAGGAUAUUAACAUUAAAGAGGAUUUUAGGAAACAAGAGUUUUGUUUUGUGGCUUCAUGCUGGGCUCAGGAAAACUGCAGCUCCUUUUCACCAAAAAGGUAUGAAACAACCUUGGGAAAAAAACAGGAAACAGAUGACAAACUGUAGAGCACUAUUGUUAGCCAGCACAUCUUCCUCAAUGGCAAGGUGGAGAAAAACCACAGUUGUCUUAGUACAGAAAAAUGACCUCAUCUCAUAGGAUGAAUUUCUCUAUGUAUGUAGAAAGGGGAUUUAACAGAAUGACUCACAGACAGUGGUCCUCCUAGUCCAAUAAUGGCUGAGCAGAUUCAUUGCCAAGGGAAACUAGAAAAAUCAAGGACUUGUUCAGUUCACGUUGCUUGAUAUCUCAGCGGAUCUUGAGUACUUCCCAGAAUUCUGAAGAAAUAAGUAUUACUAAUGCCAGUUUCAAAACAAAACAAAACAAAUGAAUGAAUGAAUAAACAAAACACCUUGCUAAAAAAUGUAGGGAAGGAAGAAGACAAUUUGAAAGAACCUCCCUGUUUAAUAUCCAGUAAAGCCUCAUUAAAAACAAAUAAAUCAAUACAAAGGCUGAAAGAUCAAGCACAGGUCUUGUGUCUUCUAAAUUAAACAACAACCAUCUUCAUACCUUCAGCUUCAUUGAAUUAAAAUAACCACAGCAGGACUUUUUAAAUGUUACUAAAUCUAAAAACAAAAAAAAAAAAAAACCACCCAGGACAUGUCUGGCCAGUACUUUUAAAAGGUAGAAGGGGGAUAACUACUUAUGAGAAGUUGUCUCCAUACAUACUGAGUAAGGCAUUUUUUUUAAGAUUUAUUUUUUUAUGUCUAUGAAUACACUGUUGCUGUCUUCAGACACACCAGAAGAGGGUGUUGGAUUUUAUUACAGAUGGUUUCGAGCCACUCUGUGCUUACUGGGAAUUGAACUCAGGUGCUCUGGAAGAGCAGUCCGUGCUCUUAACCGCUGAGCCAUCUCUCCAGCCCGAGUAAGGCAUUUUAAUGUGACUGAUUGUAGGAUAUCCACAGUCUCAUAAGAAACACCUUGUCAAUUUUGUAAAAGUAAACCAAAUAAUUUCACUGGCAUCUUUGGUUGAACUAUGAUAAUUUUGAAAUGUGGUGCCAUUGAGAAGUUAGAAAGAGGGGAUAAACAUUGCUUAUUCCCCACCCCUAAAUAAAUGUUCUCAUAGUAGAUUAUGAAUUUAUUUGUUAAACGUAUUGUGUUAUGGUAUUAACAAAUAUAAAAUGUUAGAAUGAUCGAAAGACAGAAAUAGUUUUAAUAAAGAAGGAUUUAUGUAUAGAUUAGGAUGGAAAUUUC